GCUCAAGUGGCGGAAUUGGUAGACGCGUCGGAUUCAAAAUCCGAUUUCUUCGGAAGUGUGGGUUCGAUUCCCACCUUGAGUAC
rnacentral:tRNA from 1 species